rnacentral:rRNA from 1 species
AUUGAACGCUGGCGGCAGGCUUAACACAUGCAAGUCGAGCGGAGUGAUGGUGCUUGCACUAUCACUUAGCGGCGGACGGGUGAGUAAUGCUUAGGAAUCUGCCUAUUAGUGGGGGACAACAUCUCGAAAGGGAUGCUAAUACCGCAUACGCCCUACGGGAGAAAGCAGGGGAUCACUUGUGACCUUGCGCUAAUAGAUGAGCCUAAGUCGGAUUAGCUAGUUGGUGGGGUAAAGGCCAACCAAGGCGACGAUCUGUAGCGGGUCUGAGAGGAUGAUCCGCCACACUGGGCCUGAGACACGGCCCAGACUCCUACGGGAGGCAGCAGUGGGGAAUAUUGGAAAAUGGGGGGAACCCUGAUCCAGCCAUGCCGCGUGUGUGAAGAAGGCCUUAUGGUUGUAAAGCACUUUAAGCGAGGAGGAGGCUCUUUUGGUUAAUACCCAAGAUGAGUGGACGUUACUCGCAGAAUAAGCACCGGCUAACUCUGUGCCAGCCGCCGCCGUAA